rnacentral:rRNA from 1 species
CCUAUUGAUAAUAAUUUUAGGUCGGAUCUGCCCAAUGAUUAAUAUUAAAUGGCCGCAGUAUUUUGACUGUGCAAAGGUAGCAUAAUCAUUAGUUUCUUAAUUAGAAGCYUGUAUGAAAGAUUUGAUAAGAAAAAUGCUGUCUCUGUAAAAAUUUAUUAGAAGUUUAUUUUUAAGUUAAAAAGCUUAAAUAAAUAUAGAAGACGAGAAGACCCUAUAGAGUUUUAUAGUAAUUAAAUAAAAAUAGAUUUAGAAUUAGUUAGUAGAUUUAUUUAAAUAACUAUUUAAUUGGGGAGAUUAAAAAAUUUAAUAAACUUUUUUUAUAAAUUUUCCAUAGAUUUAUGAAUUUUUGAUCCUUAGUUUAAGAUUAAAAGAUAAAAUUACCUUAGGGAUAACAGCGUAAUUUUUUUUAAAGUUCAUAUUAAAAAAAAAGAUUGCGACCUCGAUGUUGGAUUAAAAUGAAUUAUUGGUGUAGAAGCUAGUAGAUUAGGUCUGUUCGACCUUUAAAAUUUUACAUGAUCUGAGUUUAAACCGGUGUAAGCCAGGU